rnacentral:rRNA from 1 species
GACGAACGCUGGCGGCGUGCUUAACACAUGCAAGUCGAGCGGUAAGGCCCUUUCGGGGGUACACGAGCGGCGAACGGGUGAGUAACACGUGGGUGACCUGCCCUCAGCUCUGGGAGUAAGCCUGGGAAACUGGGUCUAAUACUGGAUAUGACUCCACGGUGCAUGUCGUGGGGUGGAAAGCCUUGUGCGGCUGAGGAUGGGCCCGCGGCCUAUCAGCUUGUUGGUGGGGGAUGGCCUACCAAGGCGACGACGGGUAGCCGGCCUGAGAGGGCGACCGGCCACACUGGGACUGAGACACGGCCCAGACUCCUACGGGAGGCAGCAGUGGGGAAUCUUGCGCAAUGGGCGAAAGCCUGACGCAGCGACGCCGCGUGAGGGAUGACGGCCU